rnacentral:rRNA from 1 species
AUUGAACGCUGGCGGCAGGCCUUACACAUGCAAGUCGAGCGGUUGAAGGGCGCUUGGUCCUGGCUUCAGCGGCGGACGGGUGUGUAAUGCCUAGGAAUCUGCCUGGGAGUGGGGGAUAACGUCGGGAAACGGGCGCAAAUACCGCAUACGCUCUGAGGGAGAACGGGGGGGAACUCCGCACUGCACGGCCUCAGACGACCGGAGGGCGCAUUGUCGGAUUGGGUAGUUGGUGGGGUAAAGGCCUACCAAUGCGACGAUCCGUAGCUGGUCUGAGAGGAUGAUCAGUCACACUGGAACUGAGACACGGUCCAGACUCCUACGGGAGGCAGCAGUGGGGAAUAUUGGACAAAGGGCGAAAGCCUGAUCCAGCCAUGCCGCGUGUGUGAAGAAGGUCUUCGGAUUGUAAAGCACUUUAAGUUGGGAGGAAGGGCAGUAAGUUAAUACCUUGCUGUUUUGACGUUACCAACAGAAUAAGCACCGGCUAACUUCGUG